rnacentral:rRNA from 1 species
GAUGAACGCUGGCGGCGUGCCUAAUACAUGCAAGUCGAGCGAACAGACGAGGAGCUUGCUCCUCUGACGUUAGCGGCGGACGGGUGAGUAACACGUGGAUAACCUACCUAUAAGACUGGGAUAACUUCGGGAAACCGGAUCUAAUACCGGAUAACAUGUUGAACCGCAUGGUUCAACAGUGAAAGACGGUCUUGCUGUCACUUAUAGAUGGAUCCGCGCCGCAUUAGCUAGUUGGUAAGGUAACGGCUUACCAAGGCAACGAUGCGUAGCCGACCUGAGAGGGUGAUCGGGCACACUGGCACUGAGACACGGUCCAGACUCCUACGGGAGGCAGCAGUAGGGAAUCUUCCGCAAUGGGCGAAAGCCUGACGGAGCAACGCCGCGUGGGUGAAGAAGGUCUUCGGAUCGUAAAACUCUGUUAUUAGGGAAGAACAAAUGUGUAAGUAACUAUGCACGUCUUGACGGUACCUAAUCAGAAAGCCACGGCUAACUACGUG